rnacentral:rRNA from 1 species
UACGUAGGGUGCAAGCGUUAAUCGGAAUUACUGGGCGUAAAGCGUGCGCAGGCGGUUAUGUAAGACAGAGGUGAAAUCCCCGGGCUCAACCUGGGAACGGCCUUUGUGACUGUAUAGCUAGAGUACGGCAGAGGGGGAUGGAAUUCCGCGUGUAGCAGUGAAAUGCGUAGAUAUGCGGAGGAACACCGAUGGCGAAGGCAAUCCCCUGGGCCUGUACUGACGCUCAUGCACGAAAGCGUGGGGAGCAAACAGGAUUAGAUACCCUGGUAGUCCACGCCCUAAACGAUGUCAACUGGUUGUUGGGUUUUAAUUAACUCAGUAACGAAGCUAACGCGUGAAGUUGACCGCCUGGGGAGUACGGCCGCAAGGUUGAA